rnacentral:rRNA from 1 species
UACGGGGGGGGCGAGCGUUGUUCGGAAUUACUGGGCGUAAAGGGUUCGUAGGUGGCCUGCUAAGUCAGACGUGAAAUCCCUCAGCUUAACUGGGGAACUGCGUCUGAAACUGGCGGGCUUGAGUGCAGGAGAGGAACGCGGAAUUCCAGGUGUAGCGGUGAAAUGCGUAGAUAUCAGAGGAACACCGGUGGCGAAGGCGGGUCUCUGGGCCGAUAUCGACGUGAGGAGCGAAAGCGUGGGGAGCGAACAGG